rnacentral:rRNA from 1 species
AUUGAACGCUGGCGGCAGGCCUAACACAUGCAAGUCGAGCGAGCGGCGGACGGGUGAGUAAUGUCUGGGAAACUGCCUGACGGCGGAGGCUAACUACUGGAAACGGUAGCUAAUACCGCAUACCAUCAGAUGUGCCCAGAGGGGCUUAGCUUGGAGGUGGGGUAACGGAUACCCUAGUCGACGAUCCGUAGCUGGUCGGAGAGGAUGACCAGCAACACUGGAACUGAGACACGGUCCAGACUCAUACGGUAGGCAGCAGUGGGGAAUAUUGCACAAUGGGCGCAAGCCGACUGCAGCCAGGCCGAGUGUGGGAAGGGGGCCUUAGGGUGGUAAAGCACUUUCAGCGGGGAGGCGGUACCCGCAGAAGAAGCACCGGCUAACUCCGUGCCAGCAGCCGCGGUAAUUC